UGGCUCAGGAUGAACGCUGGCGGCGUGCCUAAUACAUGCAAGUCGAGCGAAUGGAUUAAGAGCUUGCUCUUAUGAAGUUAGCGGCGGACGGGUGAGUAACACGUGGGUAACCUGCCCAUAAGACUGGGAUAACUCCGGGAAACCGGGGCUAAUACCGGAUAACAUUUUGAACUGCAUGGUUCGAAAUUGAAAGGCGGCUUCGGCUGUCACUUAUGGAUGGACCCGCGUCGCAUUAGCUAGUUGGUGAGGUAACGGCUCACCAAGGCAACGAUGCGUAGCCGACCUGAGAGGGUGAUCGGCCACACUGGGACUGAGACACGGCCCAGACUCCUACGGGAGGCAGCAGUAGGGAAUCUUCCGCAAUGGACGAAAGUC
rnacentral:rRNA from 1 species